UACGUAGGGUGCAAGCGUUGUCCGGAAUUAUUGGGCGUAAAGAGCUCGUAGGCGGUUAGUCGCGUCUGCUGUGAAAACUCGGGGCUUAACUCCGGGCCUGCAGUGGGUACGGGCUGACUAGAGUGCGGUAGGGGAGACUGGAAUUCCUGGUGUAGCGGUGAAAUGCGCAGAUAUCAGGAGGAACACCGGUGGCGAAGGCGGGUCUCUGGGCCGUAACUGACGCUGAGGAGCGAAAGCGUGGGUAGCAAACAGG
rnacentral:rRNA from 1 species